CCUACGGGUGGCAGCAGUGAGGAAUAUUGGUCAAUGGACGAGAGUCUGAACCAGCCAAGUAGCGUGAAGGAUGACUGCCCUAUGGGUUGUAAACUUCUUUUAUAUGGGAAUAAAACGUUCCACGUGUGGGAUUUUGUAUGUACCAUAUGCAUAAGGAUCGGCUAACUCCGUGCCAGCAGCCGCGGUAAUACGGAGGAUCCGAGCGUUAUCCGGAUUUAUUGGGUUUAAAGGGAGCGUAGGUGGAUUGUUAAGUCAGUUGUGAAAGUUUGCGGCUCAACCGUAAAAUUGCAGUUGAAACUGGCAGUCUUGAGUACAGUAGAGGUGGGCGGAAUUCGUGGUGUAGCGGUGAAAUGCUUAGAUAUCACGAAGAACUCCGAUUGCGAAGGCAGUUCACUGGACUGCAACUGACACUGAGGCUCGAAAGUGUGGGUAUCAAACAGGAUUAGAUACCCCUGUAGUC
rnacentral:rRNA from 1 species